GCCCAGUGACUCUUAAACGGCCGCGGUAUCCUAACCGUGCAAAGGUAGCAUAAUCACUUGUCCCCUAAAUAGGGACUAGAAUGAAUGGUCAAAUGAGGACUUAACUGUCUCUUACAUCUAACCAAUAAAACUGAUCUUUCAGUUAAAAAGCUGAAAUAAAAACAUAAGACGAGAAGACCCUGUGGAGCUUAUAAACCAAAGUCAACUCCCAUGACAUUCGGUUUUUAGUUGGGGCGACUUCGGAGUACAAAAAACCCUCCGACAAAGUUAUAUUAAGACCAACACGUCAACAUAUCCAAUAUUGACCCGCUGUCUCCACUAGACAUACGAUCAAUGAACCAAGUUACCCCAGGGAUAACAGCGCCAUCCCCUUCUAGAGUCCUUAUCGACAAGGGGGUUUACGACCUCGAUGUUGGAUCAGGACACCCAAAUAGUGCAGCCGCUAUUAAAGGUUCGUUUGUUCAACGAUUAAUAGUCCUACGUGAUCUGAGGUUUCAGAC
rnacentral:rRNA from 1 species